ACUGCAGUCGAGCGCGGGAAGCAAGCGGAUCCCCUUCGGGGGUGAAGCUUGUGGAACGAGCGGCGGACGGGUGAGUAACACGUGGGCAACCUGCCUGUAAGACCGGAAUAACCCCGGGAAACCGGGGCUAAUGCCGGGUAACACCUACCUUCGCAUGAAGGAAGGUUAAAAGAUGGCUUCUUGCUAUCACUUACAGAUGGGCCCGCGGCGCAUUAGCUAGUUGGUGAGGUAACAGCUCACCAAGGCGACGAUGCGUAGCCGACCUGAGAGGGUGAUCGGCCACACUGGGACUGAGACACGGCCCAGACUCCUACGGGAGGCAGCAGUAGGGAAUCUUCCGCAAUGGACGAAAGUCUGACGGAGCAACGCCGCGUGAACGAUGAAGGUCUUCGGAUCGUAAAGUUCUGUUGUUAGGGAAGAACAAGUACCGUGCGAAUAGAGCGGUACCUUGACGGUACCUAACGAGGAAGCCCCGGCUAACUACGUGCCAGCAGCCGCGGUAAUACGUAGGGGGCAAGCGUUGUCCGGAAUUAUUGGGCGUAAAGCGCGCGCAGGCGGUUUCUUAAGUCUGAUGUGAAAGCCCACGGCUCAACCGUGGAGGGUCAUUGGAAACUGGGGAACUUGAGGACAGAAGAGGAGAGUGGAAUUCCACGUGUAGCGGUGAAAUGCGUAGAUAUGUGGAGGAACACCAGUGGCGAAGGCGACUCUCUGGUCUGUUUCUGACGCUGAGGUGCGAAAGCGUGGGUAGCAAACAGGAUUAGAUACCCUGGUAGUCCACGCCGUAAACGAUGAGUGCUAGGUGUUAGGGGGCUUCCACCCCUUAGUGCUGAAGUUAACGCAUUAAGCACUCCGCCUGGGGAGUACGGCCGCAAGGCUGAAACUCAAAGGAAUUGACGGGGGCCCGCACAAGCGGUGGAGCAUGUGGUUUAAUUCGAAGCAACGCGAA
rnacentral:rRNA from 2 species